rnacentral:rRNA from 1 species
CUACGGGAGGCAGCAGUUUCGAAUCAUUCACAAUGGGCGAAAGCCUGAUGGUGCGACGCCGCGUGAGGGAUGAAGGUCUUCGGAUUGUAAACCUCUGUCACUGGGGAAGAAACGCUAAGCGUGAAUAUCGCUUAGCCUGACUUAACCCGGAGAGGAAGCAGUGGCUAACUCUGUGCCAGCAGCCGCGGUAAUACAGAGACUGCAAGCGUUAUUCGGAUUCACUGGGCGUAAAGGGUGCGCAGGCGGCCGUGUGUGUGAGGUGUGAAAUCCCGGAGCUUAACUCCGGAACUGCGCCUCAAACUACACGGCUAGAGCAUUGGAGAGGGAAGUGGAAUUCACGGUGUAGCAGUGAAAUGCGUAGAUAUCGUGAGGAACACCAGAGGCGAAGGCGACUUCCUGGACAAUUGCUGACGCUCAGGCACGAAAGCGUGGGGAGCAAAAGGGAUUAGAUACCCUUGUAGUCC